rnacentral:rRNA from 1 species
CCUACGGGAGGCAGCAGUAGGGAAUAUUGCUCAAUGGGGGAAACCCUGAAGCAGCCAAGCCGCGUGGAGGAUGAAGGUUUUCGGAUUGUAAAAUCCUUUUGUUAGAGAAGAUAAUGACGGUAUCUAACGAAUAAGCACCGGCUAACUCCGGUCCAGCAGGCGCGGUAAUACGGAGGGUGCCAGCGUUACUCGGAAUCACUGGGCGUAAAGGGCGCGUAGGCGGGAUAGCAAGUCAGAUGUGAAAUCCUAUGGCUUAACCAUAGAACUGCAUUUGAAACUGUUAUUCUAGAGUAUGGGAGAGGUAGGUGGAAUUCUUGGUGUAGGGGUAAAAUCCGUAGAGAUCAAGAGGAAUACUCAUUGCGAAGGCGACCUGCUAGAACAUAACUGACGCUGAUGCGCGAAAGCGUGGGGAGCAAACAGGAUUAGAUACCCGAGUAGUC